rnacentral:misc_RNA from 1 species
GUUACAGCAAAAUCUUGAAUCCCAAUUGAGAUGUGCGGAAGUGGUACAACUACUACUACUAUGUCACCAGACGUUUGUGGAUCUAGCUUGCUUCUAUCACUGCCUGAUGACGUGUUUGCUAUAGUAAGUAGAUCACUUUCUCCAAGGGAUGUAUGUAAUCUUGGUUUAUGCUGUAGAAACUUGCAUGAUUUAGCUGCCUCUGAGAAGGUUUGGCUAUCACAAUGUGAAAUGCUUGGGGUGGUUCCUUAUCGGGAUGUUAUUGAAUGGCGAAAGGGAGUUUGUUCCUACAAGGCACUUUGUCACUUCUUUGUAAGCAUAAAGCCUUUGCUUGGUAUUUGGGUUCAUCAAAAUCCUGAACUCGGCAAUGUUGUUUAUGUUAUGCCUGGUUUUAUCUCUGCGGUUGGUUGUCGGAUUAUUCCCCAAGAACUUGGUCCAUUAGGCCUUGAAGACAGUCCAAUUUUGUGGUCG